rnacentral:rRNA from 1 species
UACGGAGGGAGCUAGCGUUAUUCGGAAUUACUGGGCGUAAAGCGCACGUAGGCGGCUUUGUAAGUUAGAGGUGAAAGCCUGAAGCUCAACUUCAGAACUGCCUUUAAGACUGCAUCGCUUGAAUCCAGGAGAGGUGAGUGGAAUUCCGAGUGUAGAGGUGAAAUUCGUAGAUAUUCGGAAGAACACCAGUGGCGAAGGCGGCUCACUGGACUGGUAUUGACGCUGAGGUGCGAAAGCGUGGGGAGCAAACAGG